GGGCCCUUUAACUCUAUUCUGGUCCCAAGCCAUCCUACCCCAAUUAUAUUUAUUCAUUUAUUUAUUUAUUUAUUUAUUUUUUGAGACAGGGUCUCACUAUGUAGUUCAGGCUGGCCUUAAACUCACUAUGGAGCCCAGGCUGGCUUCAAACUCAUAAUGAACCUCCUGCCUCAGCCUCCUGAGUGCUGGGAUUACAGGUGUGAGCCAACAUGUCCUGCCCACCCCAAUGUAAGCAGCCGACAGACUCUAGACUAGAUUCUCCCACCUUCUCACGUGAUUGACUUUCUCUCAGAGUUGGAGGUAGGACAUUUCUCGCAUUCACAGGGUCGGCUGCAGAGCCUCAGCUCUCUCUGCCCCGGGGCUGGAUGGAGGAGGGCCGACCUCGGAGCAGCCUCAGCCUGGCCAGCAGCGCCUCCACCUCUCUUCGCUCAGCACCCUGAGCGCCAAGAAGCCGGCCCGGGCAGUAAACAAGGUCCACACCUUUGGGGAAGAGGAGCAAUGCGCUCCGAAGGGACCCCAACCUGCCUGUACACAUCCGAGGCUGGCUUCACAAGCAGG
rnacentral:lncRNA from 1 species